UUAUACCGUGAAACUGCGAAUGGCUCAUUAAAUCAGUUAUCGUUUAUUUGAUAGUACCUUACUACUUGGAUACCUGUGGUAAUUCUAGAGCUAAUACAUGCUAAAAACCCCGACUUCGGAAGGGGUGUAUUUAUUAGAUAAAAAACCAAUGCCCUUCGGGGCUCCUUGGUGAUUCAUAAUAACUUCUCAGAUCGCAUGGCCUUGCGCCGGCGACGGUUCAUUCAAAUUUCUGCCCUAUCAACUUUCGAUGGUAAGGUAUUGGCUUACCAUGGUGGCAACGGGUAACGGGGAAUUAGGGUUCGAUUCCGGAGAGUUAGCCUGAGAAACGGCUAACACAUCCAAGGAAGGCAGCAGGCGCGCAAAUUACCCAAUCCCGAUACGGGGAGGUAGUGACAAUAAAUACUGAUACAGGGCUCUUUUGGGUCUUGUAAUUGGAAUGAGUACAAUUUAAACCUCUUAACGAGGAACAAUUGGAGGGCAAGUCUGGUGCCAGCAGCCGCGGUAAUUCCAGCUCCAAUAGCGUAUAUUAAAGUUGUUGCAGUUAAAAAGCUCGUAGUUGAACCUUUGGCCUGGCUGGCAGGUCCGCCUCACCGCGUGCACUUGUCCGGCCGGGCCUUUUCUUCUGGAGAACCGCAUGCCCUUCACUGGGUGUGUUGGGGACCAGGACUUUUACUUUGAAAAAAUUAGAGUGUUCAAAGCAGGCCUUUGCUCGAAUAUUACAGCAUGGAAUAAUAGAAUAGGACGUGCGGUUCUAUUUUGUUGGUUUCUAGGACCGCCGUAAUGAUUAAUAGGGACAGUCGGGGGCAUCAGUAUUCAAUUGUCAGAGGUGAAAUUCUUGGAUUUAUUGAAGACUAACUACUGCGAAAGCAUUUGCCAAGGAUGUUUUCAUUAAUCAGUGAACGAAAGUUAGGGGAUCGAAGACGAUCAGAUACCGUCGUAGUCUUAACCAUAAACUAUGCCGACUAGGGAUCGGGCGGUGUUAUUAUUUUGACUCGCUCGGCACCUUACGAGAAAUCAAAGUGUUUGGG
rnacentral:rRNA from 1 species